rnacentral:rRNA from 1 species
UAGGGAAUCUUCCACAAUGGACGCAAGUCUGAUGGAGCAACGCCGCGUGAGUGAAGAAGGUUUUCGGAUCGUAAAGCUCUGUUGUUGGUGAAGAAGGAUAGAGGUAGUAACUGGCCUUUAUUUGACGGUAAUCAACCAGAAAGUCACGGCUAACUACGUGCCAGCAGCCGCGGUAAUACGUAGGUGGCAAGCGUUGUCCGGAUUUAUUGGGCGUAAAGCGAGCGCAGGCGGAAGAAUAAGUCUGCUGUGAAAGCCCUCGGCUUAACCGGGGAACUGCAUCGGAAACUGUUUUUCUUGAGUGCAGAAGAGGAGAGUGGAAUUCCAUGUGUAGCGGUGGAAUGCGUAGAUAUAUGGAAGAACACCAGUGGCGAAGGCGACUCUCUGGUCUGCAACUGAAGCUGAGGCUCGAAAGCAUGGGUAGCGAACAGG